GUCUCUGUGGCACAAUCAGUUAGCGCAUUCAGCUUUUAACCAAAAGGUUGGUGGUUCUAAGUCCCUCCCAGGGAUG
rnacentral:tRNA from 1 species